GGGGAUAACACUUGGAAACAGGUGCUAAUACCGUAUAACACUAUUUUCCGCAUGGAAGAAAGUUGAAAGGCGCUUUUGCGUCACUGAUGGAUGGACCCGCGGUGCAUUAGCUAGUUGGUGAGGUAACGGCUCACCAAGGCCACGAUGCAUAGCCGACCUGAGAGGGUGAUCGGCCACACUGGGACUGAGACGCGGCCCAGACUCCUACGGGAGGCAGCAGUAGGGAAUCUUCGGCAAUGGACGAAAGUCUGACCGAGCAACGCCGCGUGAGUGAAGAAGGUUUUCGGAUCGUAAAACUCUGUUGUUAGAGAAGAACAAGGAUGAGAGUAGAACGUUCAUCCCUUGACGGUAUCUAACCAGAAAGCCACGGCUAACUACGUGCCAGCAGCCGCGGUAAUACGUAGGUGGCAAGCGUUGUCCGGAUUUAUUGGGCGUAAAGCGAGCGCAGGCGGUUUCUUAAGUCUGAUGUGAAAGCCCCCGGCUCAACCGGGGAGGGUCAUUGGAAACUGGGAGACUUGAGUGCAGAAGAGGAGAGUGGAAUUCCAUGUGUAGCGGUGAAAUGCGUAGAUAUAUGGAGGAACACCAGUGGCGAAGGCGGCUCUCUGGUCUGUAACUGACGCUGAGGCUCGAAAGCGUGGGGAGCGAACAGGAUUAGAUACCCU
rnacentral:rRNA from 1 species